UAGGAGGCUGUCCCAAGAGAGCUCGCAGUGGAUGGUGUUUCACUAUGUUGCCUGGGCUGGUUUUGGGAUACUCGCUGCAAGUGAUCCUCCUGACUCAGCCUCCUAAAGUAUGGGGAUUACAGAUGUCCGCCACGAUGUCCAGCACAUAAUAAAGUUGUUCUAGUCUUAGAAUCUUGUCUCAUGAUGGUAACUCCACCUUCAAUUUUUU
rnacentral:lncRNA from 1 species